rnacentral:lncRNA from 1 species
AAUAUGAAUUUUGUGCUUCACUAUCCAUAUAAUGAAUAGAAACUAAAAUAUUGAUUAGGCUAAAGAUAAUUAUAAUUAUUUAACGAUAUAUUUUUUUUAAAGGUCUUUAUCAUCAUCAAAUCACCAACCAAAACCAAAAAAACAUAAGAACUAGUAAACUUACUAACAACCUUAGUUCCUUAAAAAAAACAUGCUUAACAAGUUUAUCGAGAAAAACCGACCUAACCGCAAUUUGAAUCUCCCUCGAAGUAAUCGUUAGCUUCUUAUUAUACUAUGCAAGUUGCAACGAUUCUUGAGCAAGCUUGUCAAAUAUAUUAUUGAUGAAACGGUCUAUUAUUCCAUAGCUUUACUUUAGAACCUUGAAAAUGUGGACCUUGUAAGUUUUGACGCUUUUCUUUGAUCUCUUUUUUCUUUUCUUGCAUCCUCAUUUCUUUGGGAUUUUCUUAUUUGCUAGUUUAUUCUCUACGGCUCGUUUUGCCAAUAAUUUUUCAUGGAAGUUCUUUUCGAUGUGUCGCAAAAUUUGAUUUUCGUCAAUAACCCUAAACACCUCAAGAUUUGUCAAUAUUUCAAAGAACUUGAUAUUGCCUCUUGUUGAAUAUGAACGAAGAAUUGCUAAUGGAAAGCUUGUAGAUGGUUAUAGUUUUCAAGUAGAAACCGAUGGAGUAACUUUGAAAUUCUUAAUGCAUAUAAUAACAGAUUCUCUACUUUUGAAAUGUUGGAGAAAAAUGUUUUGAAUGGAGAAAAGAGAAUAAAAUGAACAAAUUGUUCAAUAAUCAAAUAGGAAAUGAAACAUAAAUCAAUUAAGCUUCGAUGAAGAAAGAGGAAGAAUAUAAGUGAUGAAGAUAAAUAGUUAUGGACAUACAAAGUAUCUCAAGUAAUGGUGGUGAUGCAUAGAAAAAGGUGGAAAAUAUCAAAUUAAUCUUCUAAAGUAAAAAAUAAAAAAAAAUAAAAAAAAAUCAAAUCUUCAUCGAAAUCCACUACUAAGUUGAAAGAAAGUAGGAUGAAAUUCAUCAAUUUCACUUUUCAAAAAUGGCAAAAGCAAAGAAAAAACCAAACUCUAAUAUCAUAUUACAAUCACUAGUAGAAAAAUGGCUUUUUAAUUCAACAGAUUUAAGUCGUUUACGUGGCACCAGACUUAAAAAAUGAGGCGGAAGUAUAUUUAACUCGGUUAUCCGUAUAAACGAGUUAAUAAAAUGAUGCGGUGGCAAUUUUGGAAAUAUUUAAAACUUUUUUAACGCGGUUAUAUUAAUAAUCGACUUAAAACAUACUACAAUAACAUAACAUACGGUGCGUUUGUGUAAGGCAUAUUUAUUGCAACUUUUUAGCUUCCACCUUUGUUAACUAUUCUAUUAUAAAUCUUUCGUAUUCUCUAACAAUAUUUUCAUCACACUCAUCGCCCAACUCAGUUUUUAUCGUCGUCAAUUAGUUUCAUCGCCACCUUUUUCAGCCAAACCGCUUCACGCCACCUUUUUCACAAUCGCCAAACAGCUUUAUCGCCACCAUUUCAGGUAUGGUUGUUCAGAUUAUUGAAUAAUAAAUUUACAUGAGUAAUUUUUUACAAUUUUCUACUCUUCUAUUGUUUAAUAUAAUGAGACAUUAAUAAAAUGAUUAAUAUAUGUGUUCAUAAUUUCAUUUAGAUAAUAUCAUAUUAUUUGAAGGAAAAAAAU